GACGAACGCUGGCGGCGUGCCUAACACAUGCAAGUCGAGCGAAUGAAGUUCCUUCGGGAACGGAUUUAGCGGCGGACGGGUGAGUAACACGUGGGCAACCUGCCUCAUAGAGGGGAAUAGCCUUCCGAAAGGGAGAUUAAUACCGCAUAAGAUUGUAGUACCGCAUGGUACAGUAAUUAAAGGAGCAAUCCGCUAUGAGAUGGGCCCGCGGCGCAUUAGCUAGUUGGUGAGGUAACGGCUCACCAAGGCGACGAUGCGUAGCCGACCUGAGAGGGUGAUCGGCCACAUUGGGACUGAGACACGGCCCAGACUCCUACGGGAGGCAGCAGUGGGGAAUAUUGCACAAUGGGGGAAACCCUGAUGCAGCAACGCCGCGUGAGUGAUGACGGUCUUCGGAUUGUAAAGCUCUGUCUUUGGGGACGAUAAUGACGGUACCCAAGGAGGAAGCCACGGCUAACUACGUGCCAGCCGCCGCUGUAACAC
rnacentral:rRNA from 1 species